UACAGAGGUCUCGAGCGUUGUUCGGAUUCAUUGGGCGUAAAGGGCGCGUAGGCGGCGCGGUAAGUCGGGUGUGAAAUCUCGGAGCUUAACUCCGAAACUGCAUUCGAUACUGCCGUGCUUGAGGACUGGAGAGGAGACUGGAAUUUACGGUGUAGCGGUGAAAUGCGUAGAUAUCGUAAGGAAGACCAGUGGCGAAGGCGGGUCUCUGGACAGUUCCUGACGCUGAGGCACGAAGGUCAGGGGAGCAAACGGG
rnacentral:rRNA from 1 species